GACCGUCCUUGGCGCUGAAGGUCUCGUCCUCCCCAUGGCCACUCCUCUCUGCGGCUCGUGCCCGUGUCGUCUCUCUCGCGCUACACCGUGCGCCGCCCUCUGUCCUCUCUCUCUCUACAUGUGUGCCGUAUGCAUCCCUCUAUCUACCACCGCCAAGCCCAUUUGGUAGGAACUUGGAUGGCCACCAGAUCUAUGUCUGCUUCACCGGUGCACCUCCAAGACCCUCGACCUCACGUUGGACUUGCAUCUGCUUUAUCUUUGUUCUCCCCGUCCGUUGAAGGUGACUAUGUUCUUCAUGGAUGAUGGGAAAGUAGCCAAGUAGGUGAUUUUGUUUCUGUUUGAAUCAUGUGAAAUAGAUUACUAAUUAUGUGAUUUGUUCUUGCUGGACGAUGGGGUAGACAAUUUAUUACCAUACUUAACAUGUUGUAGUAGUAGUAGUACUAGUGAAAUUGAAAUAGAAACUGCAAUUUGUUACCUGUGGCUGUUUUAACAUCUCAGAUAUCAAUAUGUGGUAGUCAAAACUGUUGAAAUAAAAAUGGUGCAUGAGUUCUGUGUUAAAUCUCUGCCUCCUGUUUGCGAAUUUCUAUUUACAUGUGCUGUUGUAAAGUUUCUAGAUUGUGUUUGUGUUUUGUGUUGUUACUGUCAUGUGAAUAUUCAGAUUGGCACUCUCAUAUUUUUUUCAGUAAAUGUGUCUUGCUUGUUGACGGAUUAGAUUGUACAUUUUUUCUAUGUGAUCCAUGGAAGUAGUAGUACUAGUGUUCCUCGGUUAUUUGUAGUGAGAGAAGAAACUUGUAUUAUUCAUCUCACUUGCCAGCAAGUUGCAGCAUAAGCAGAAGGAAAGAUUUGUAUAGACGCCAUGCAUGAUUUUGCGGUUCGGGUUGGGAUGUAGCUGCUGAGUUUUUGGCGUCUGCUAUGUUAUCAUAAGGUCACGGUCUAUACAGUAUACAUGCUGAUGUUUUCCAUCUGAUUAGGUUUAGAAAUAGACAUGCCCGUACCAGCGAUUUGGUGUUGUAUUUUCUUAUUUCACAAUGCUUCAUCCAUCUUAUUAGUUGAAUGAUAAUACUUCUUUGUUGCUUUUCUCAGUUAAGACAAGAGAUGUAGAACUGAACUGGGUUGAACAAGCUUGAAGCUAAUUUUCUGAAUUUGAUCUUAUACUGAGAUAAUUGCACUAGGAUUACCACAAUGUGGAAGCGCUUCCGCAAGGAACAAAAGAUCCUUUAUCAUCUAGAGAUGAUGUAUGAAGUAAAGAUGUCAUUGGCGCAAAGGAUCAAUGAUUUCUUAAAUCAGAGAUUGAAGCACAUGGGUCUCUUCAUAUAAAGCUAAUCUUUGGAGGCAACAACAUUGGAGCUCUGGUACAUGUGUUGGAGGCUUGUUCUGGCUGAAUAAAAUGGGAGUCUCAUAAAUAGUUACGGAAGGGUGGUCAUUUUGGUAAUAUGUCUAGUUUGCUAGACUUAUAGUAUACUGCUAGAGGC